rnacentral:tRNA from 1 species
GCCCCGAUAGCUCAGAUGGAUAGAGCAGAAGACUUCUAAGCUUAAGGUCGUUGGUUCGAGUCCAACUCGGGGCACCA